UUGAGAUGGUUGAGUAUCUCGCCCCUCAAUUCUCGCUGUAUUGAGAUGGUUGAGUAUCUCGCCCCUCAAUUCUCGCUGUAAACUUCAAACCUGUUUAAUUUUCAAUCAGCGUCUGAACAAAUUAAUAAUUACAACUUUCAACAACGGAUCUCUUGGUUCUGGCAUCGAUGAAGAACGCAGCGAAAUGCGAUAAGUAGUGUGAAUUGCAGAAUUCAGUGAAUCAUCGAAUCUUUGAACGCACAUUGCGCCCCUUGGUAUUCCAUGGGGCAUGCCUGUUCGAGCGUCAUUUGUACCUUCAAGCUCUGCUUGGUGUUGGGUGUUUGUCCUUGCUCUAGUGGCGGGACUCGCCUUAAAGUAAUUGGCAGCCAGUGUUUUGGUUUUGAAGCGCAGCACAAGUCGCGAUUCAAGUCUAUACGCUAGUUUCCACAAGUCUUUUAUCACUUUUGACCUCGGAU
rnacentral:rRNA from 1 species